rnacentral:lncRNA from 1 species
UGUUUGCUCCUUCUCUGUCUCGAGCAUGGUUUUCUAUCCUGCCGGGGAGGGCGAGAGCGCUGGGCAGAGGUGGCACCUGACCCGCUAGAACUCCGAUGUCACUGCUGUGGCUGUUACUCCCCUCGGCAAGAGUCAAGGCGCACGCAGGACGUGAAUCCUGCAAUGGACUGACCUCAUCUUCCCGAGGCUGUGAUGUUUCAGGAGAGUUUCACUAUUGCUGACCAACUGAGACCACCAGGAGCUCCUAAGUGCAAAGAGAGACAGGAAUCCUUUCUGCAACCAGAGGCUAUUACGAGUAUGGCUACAUCUUUUCUUCUGGAUACCACCAGAUCAUUCCAGCCACCUGCCUUUGUGGUGUCUCCAGACAAGGGCUGACAACCAUCGAAGCAUCGAAACCCUAAGGCUACUUGGAGAGAAGAAGACUGUCCCUGGAGAAGUCAAACAGGUGACUCAGGAAUGUUGAAAAGUUGGAUGCCUUUGGAUUCCAGAGUAGCAUCUCAGGAUCAUGGAUUGUAGGAGAGAUGUGACCUUACCCUUCCGCCAAUGCAGGGUUUACUUUGAAAUGAGACGUUGUGAGGUCAGAGAAACUUGCUGAUUUUCCCAAGCUGAACAACUGAAUUUGUGGGGAAUGAAACCUGGGACCCAAGUGUCCUGGAUUCCAGGGUUUUGUUUUGCUUAUCCUUUUUUACACCAUUUUACAAGCUGUCAUGCAUGAGCCCUGACUUCAGCCUGUGGUAUUUAAGUACAUUAAAACUUAAUACUG